rnacentral:rRNA from 1 species
CUACGGGUGGCUGCAGUGAGGAAUAUUGCGCAAUGGACGAAAGUCUGACGCAGCCAUGCCGCGUGCAGGAUGACGGCGCUAUGCGUUGUAAACUGCUUUUAUAUGCCAAGAAACCUUCGGACGUGUCCGAAGCUGACGGUAGCAUAUGAAUAAGCACCGGCUAACUCCGUGCCAGCCGCCGCGGUAAUACGGAGGUGCAGGCGUUAUCCGGAUUUAUUGGGUUUAAAGGGUCCGUAGGCGGAUCAUUAAGUCAGUGGUGAAAGCCGGCAGCUCAACUGUCGAACGGCAUUGAUACUGGUGAUCUUGAAUACGGUUGAAGUUGGCGGAAUAGGUCAUGUAGCGGUGAAAUGCGUAGAUAUGACCUAGAACACCGAUUGCGAAGGCAGCCAACUAAGCCGUUAUUGACGCUGAGGGACGAAAGCGUGGGGAGCGAACAGGAUUAGAUACCCGAGUAGUC